rnacentral:rRNA from 1 species
UACGUAGGGUGCAAGCGUUAAUCGGAAUUACUGGGCGUAAAGCGUGCGUAGACGGUUAUGUAAGUCGGAUGUGAAAGCCCCGGGCUCAACCUGGGAACUGCAUUCGAGACUGCAUAGCUAGGAUGCGGAAGAGGGAAGUGGAAUUUCCGGUGUAGCGGUGAAAUGCGUAGAUAUCGGAAGGAACAUCAGUGGCGAAGGCGGGUCUCUGGGCCGUAACUGACGCUGAGGAGCGAAAGCGUGGGGAGCGAACAGG